GUGCCAGCAGCCGCGGUAAUACGGAGGGUGCAAGCGUUGUCCGGAAUCAUUGGGUGUAAAGGGUGCGUAGGCGGGCUAUUAAGUCUGGGGUGAAAUCUUGCCGCUUAACGGUAAAAUGGCCUUGGAUACUGGUAGUCUUGAGUGUAGAAGAGGCAGGUGGAAUUCGUAGUGUAGCGGUGAAAUGCAUAGAUAUUACGAAGAACAUCAGUGGCGAAGGCGGCCUGCUGGUCUACAACUGACGCUGAGGCACGAAAGCGUGGGGAGCGAACAGGAUUAGAUACCCUGGUAGUCCACGCUGUAAACGAUGCAUACUAGGUGUUGGCCUUUUGGGGUCAGUGCUGCAGUUAACGCAUUAAGUGCCCCACCUGGGGAGUACGCCCGCAAGGGUGAAACUCAAAUGAAUUGACGGGG
rnacentral:rRNA from 1 species